UACGGAGGGGGCUAGCGUUAUUCGGAAUUACUGGGCGUAAAGCGCACGUAGGCGGCUUUCUAAGUCGGGGGUGAAAUCCUGGAGCUCAACUCCAGAACUGCCUUCGAUACUGGAAAGCUCGAGUCCGGGAGAGGUGAGUGGAACUGCGAGUGUAGAGGUGAAAUUCGUAGAUAUUGGGAAGAACACCGGUGGCGAAGGCGGCGGCCUGGUCCGUGACUGACGCUGAGGCGCGAAAGCGUGGGGAGCAAACAGG
rnacentral:rRNA from 1 species